UGACAAAUAAUGGAACAAAAACAAUCAAGAUAUUUGUAAAUUUUAAGUAUUUUCACUAAUAAUAUGGGGAAAAUUUGAUAAUUAUAUCGAUAAAAUACCUAUUUAACUUAUAUUUUAUAACUGUAGCCAUGAAUAAUUAGAUUUUGCAACAAAUUCAUAUGAUGUUGAUAUAAGUAUGAAUGGCAAAGGUUUGACACCAGUUAUGAGUUAAUGAUGUCGGGGCCUGCGAAAAAUUGUUUUUAUUAUAAAUAAACAACAAUAUUAAUCCAUACAAACCUUAUACGUUAAUAAUACAAAAUUAUGACAAAAUUAGUUUCCAGUUUUUGUCGAUCGUUUUGGAAACAUGAACACAUGACAAAUUUAUGAAACGCAUAAAUUUUUACAAAUAUUGAGCUAUUCCAAUGAUAAUUAACACUGUUCUAAACACGUAAUAUCGAAUUAAAACAUUUUUGUGCAACAAGCUCUCUCCAUGGUGACAUGUCGGUAGCGGCGAGCGCUGGAGUUGUGUUGGUUGGUCUCGUUUUAGUUUGGGGUGUUUAUCUCCGAAAAUGUUUAUACGAGGUCAAUUGAACUAUGUGUGAAAUAACUUCAAUAUUGUAAUUUAAAUAUGUGUGUUCAUUAAUAUAAUUCAAUAGAUAACAA